rnacentral:tRNA from 1 species
GAUUCGGUAGUUCAGUUGGUUAGAUUAUCCCGCUUUCGGGCGGGAGGGUCGCGGGUUCAAGUCCCGUCCGGACCG